GUCUAAUAAUGUCUAAUAAAUGACCUAAAGAGGCAGAAAACAUUGAUGAAAACUUCAAGAAUUAAAGAAAGUACUUUAAAAAUGGCAAAUAUAUUGAGAAUUCAGAUGUUUGUACAGGAACAAAAAAAUCUAUUUAAUAAUAUAAAUGUGGACCUUACAUAGUUACAUAAGAGACAUGUGUCCAUCAAGUUCAGCCUUUUUCGCAUCUGUUUUUUGCUGUUGAUCCAAAAUAAGAC